UACAGAGGGGGCAAGCGUUGUUCGGAAUUACUGGGCGUAAAGGGCGCGUAGGCGGCAGAUCAAGUCAGUUGUGAAAUCUCUGAGCUUAACUCAGAACUGUCAACUUAUACUGCUCUGCUAGAGUGCGGAAGGGGCAAUCGGAAUUCUUGGUGUAGCGGUGAAAUGCGUAGAUAUCAAGAGGAACACCUGAGGUGAAGACGGGUUGCUGGGCCGACACUGACGCUGAGUGCGCGAAAGCCAGGGGAGCAAACGGG
rnacentral:rRNA from 1 species